rnacentral:rRNA from 1 species
AGGUUUUCGGAUCGUAAAGCUCUGUUGUUAGGGAAGAACAAGUAUCGGAGUAACUGCCGGUACCUUGACGGUACCUAACCAGAAAGCCACGGCUAACUACGUGCCAGCAGCCGCGGUAAUACGUAGGUGGCAAGCGUUGUCCGGAAUUAUUGGGCGUAAAGCGCGCGCAGGCGGUCUUUUAAGUCUGAUGUGAAAGCCCACGGCUCAACCGUGGAGGGUCAUUGGAAACUGGAAGACUUGAGUGCAGAAGAGGAGAGUGGAAUUCCACGUGUAGCGGUGAAAUGCGUAGAUAUGUGGAGGAACACCAGUGGCGAAGGCGACUCUCUGGUCUGUAACUGACGCUGAGGCGCGAAAGCGUGGGGAGCGAACAGGAUUAGAUACCCUGGUAGUCCACGCCGUAAACGAUGAGUGCUAAGUGUUGGGGGGUUUCCGCCCCUCAGUGCUGCAGCUAACGCAUUAAGCACUCCGCCUGGGGAGUACGGCCGCAAGGCUGAAACUCAAAGGAAUUGACGGGGGCCCGCACAAGCGGUGGAGCAUGUGGUUUAAUUCGAAGCAACGCGAAGAACCUUACCAGGUCUUGACAUCCUCUGACACUCCUGGAGACAGGACGUUCCCCUUCGGGGGACAGAGUGACAGGUGGUGCAUGGUUGUCGUCAGCUCGUGUCGUGAGAUGUUGGGUUAAGUCCCGCAACGAGCGCAACCCUUGAUCUUAGUUGCCAG